ACGAGGAUCCAUUGGAGAGCAAGUCUGGUGCCAGCAGUCGCGGUAAUUCCAGCUCCAAUAGCGUAUAUUAAAGUUGUUGCGGUUAAAAAGCUCGUAGUUGGAUCUCAGCUCCGGCCGGGCGGUCCGCCUACCGGUGGUCACUGCUCGCUGCCGAGCGUUCAGGGGGCUCUCGCAGAUGAUCUUCACCGGUUGUCUGCGGGGACCCUCACGUUUACUUUGAAAAAAUUAGAGUGCUCAAAGCAGGCGCGACGCCUGAAUAAUUGUGCAUGGAAUAAUGGAAUAGGACCUCGGUUCUAUUUUGUUGGUUUUCGGAACACGAGGUAAUGAUUAAGAGGGACAGACGGGGGCAUUCGUAUUGCGACGCUAGAGGUGAAAUUCUUGGACCGUCGCAAGACGAACUACUGCGAAAGCAUUUGCCAAGAAUGUUUCCAUUAAUCAAGAACGAAAGUUAGAGGUUCGAAGGCGAUCAGAUACCGCCCUAGUUCUAACCAUAAACGAUGCCAGCCAGCGAUCCGGCUGCGUUCCU
rnacentral:rRNA from 1 species